UGGGGAAUAUUGGACAAUGGGCGAAAGCCUUAUCCAGCCAUGCCGCGUGUGUGAAGAAGGUCUUCGGAUUGUAAAGCACUUUAAGUUGGGAGGAAGGGCAGUAAGCGAAUACCUUGCUGUUUUGACGUUACCGACAGAAUACGCACCGGCUAACUCUGUGCCAGCAGCCGCGGUAAUACAGAGGGUGCAAGCGUUAAUCGGAAUUACUGGGCGUAAAGCGCGCGUAGGUGGUUCGUUAAGUUGAAUGUGAAAGCCCCGGGCUCAACCUGGGAACUGCAUCCAAAACUGGCGAGCUAGAGUAGGGCAGAGGGUGGUGGAAUGUCCUGUGUAGCGGUGAAAUGCGUAGAUAUAGGAAGGAACACCAGUGGCGAAGGCGACCACCUGGGCUCAUACUGACACUGAGGUGCGAAAGCGUGGGGAGCAAACAGG
rnacentral:rRNA from 1 species